AUUCAGUGUGCACUAUGUUCUGGCACUGAGGGUCCAGUGGUGAAGGAAACCCCUGAAUUGACUUUUUAGUGGGAGGAGAGAGAUACUAAGAAAACUAAAAAGUGAGACAAUAUGGAGGUAGUGAUAAACUUGAGGAAGGAAAUAAGGCAGCGUGAGGUGAUAGUGGUUGGAAAAGCUCUUCUUGAAGAGAUGGCAUUGAGCAAAGAUCUGCAGGUAGAAAGCAGCAGGGAUGUGCAGAGGCAUCGAGGCAGGCAUAAUAAACCCAGGAUGUCUAAGGACAUUGAAGAGAGCAGUGUGGCUGGAGCCCAGAGAGUGCGUGGUCUACUUGAGGAUGGAGUGAUGGACAAGGGCCGGUUGCCGAGGGCCUUGUAGGUCACAGCUUUGGAUUUUAUCCCAAGGGAGGGGAAAUCCAUUAAUCCAUUGAAGGCAUUAAUAAGAGGGGAAUGUCAUUCUUUGUAUCCAAGGCACUGAGCACGAAAGACACACUAACUAUUGAAUAUAGACUACAACAUGCUCCUGACCAACCAGCCAACAUGAGCAAUUCUAGAUUGUUUUCUUUUUAUAUUUAUUUAUUUAUCUUUUUUUUUAGUUAUCGGUGGACACCACAUCUUUGUUUGUAUGUGGUGCUGAGGAUCGAACCUGGGCCGCACGCAUGCCAGGCGAGCGCGCUACCGCUUGAGCCACAUCCCCAGCCCCUCUAGAUUGUUU
rnacentral:lncRNA from 1 species